GUGAAAGGACUACGUCCACAUCCAACCUUUUUUCUUUUUUGGUCUGGCUCUCUGCCAUAUGUUCAGUGAAUAAAUUGGAUGUGACUGAGCAAUUUCUGAACCAAACUACUGCAGCGAAGGCAUUAGCCAGCACAAUAAGGACUAGAAGAGAGCUUCAAGACCGGUUACCAGGAUUUUCCAGGGUCUCCAACAAUGAUAUUGCGCUCAAGAUUCCAAAAGCCUUCAGAGGUGAAGAAUAGAAAACGACAAAUGGGGUGGGGUAAAAAUAAACAGAAAAAAUCAACUGCAUCUCGGAUACCAAUGGACCAGGAAACUACGCGUAAAAAUCAAAACCUAAAGAAAUCAUCAAGUAAAUGUGAAGCAUACCAACACUAUGACAGAAAGAAAUGUUACAUACUGACAAGGGACUCAAAAACUCUGCGUUUUGAUUUAGACGAGCAUGGCCAUCGUAAAAUAUCAAUUGAGGAUUCACAAUCCAUUGAAGAUAUUGCAUGGUUAGACAUAUUCACAAGCAACAAACAGAAUAAUUGUGCUCUGGUGGCCAGAAACAGCACUAAAAAACGUUGUAAAAAUUUGGUGACCAUGACCCAGCGAUCAAAAAAUAACUUUCUCCUAUUGGGCAAGAAUAAGAAACAACUGUGU